AACGAACACUGGCGGCAUGCCUAACACAUGCAAGUCGAACGAUUGCCUUCGGGUGAUAGUGGCGCACGGGUGCGUAACGCGUGGGAAUCUGCCCUUAGGUUCGGAAUAACAGCUGGAAACGGCUGCUAAUACCGGAUGAUAUCGCGAGAUCAAAGAUUUAUCGCCUGAGGAUGAGCCCGCGUUGGAUUAGGUAGUUGGUGGGGUAAAGGCCUACCAAGCCGACGAUCCAUAGCUGGUCUGAGAGGAUGAUCAGCCACACUGGGACUGAGACACGGCCCAGACUCCUACGGGAGGCAGCAGUGGGGAAUAUUGGACAAUGGGCGCAAGCCUGAUCCAGCAAUGCCGUGUGAGUGAUGAAGGCCCUAGGGUUGUAAAGCUCUUUUACCCGGGAAGAUAAUGACUGUACCGGGAGAAUAAGCCCCGGCUAACUCCGUG
rnacentral:rRNA from 1 species